CCUACGGGACGCAGCAGUGGGGGAUAUUGCACAAUGGGGGAAACCCUGAUGCAGCGACGCCGCGUGGGCGAAGAAGUAUUUCGGUAUGUAAAGCCCUAUCAGCAGGGAAGAAGAAAUGACGGUACCUGAGUAAGAAGCACCGGCUAAAUACGUGCCAGCAGCCGCGGUAAUACGUAUGGUGCAAGCGUUAUCCGGAUUUACUGGGUGUAAAGGAAGCGCAGGCGGCACGGCAAGCCUGAUGUGAAAGCCCGCGGCCCAACCGCGGGACUGCAUUGGAAACUGUAUUGCUUGAGUACCGGAGAGGC
rnacentral:rRNA from 1 species